UACGAAGGGGGCUAGCGUUGUUCGGAAUCACUGGGCUUAAAGGGCGCGUAGGCGGGCGGUCAAGUCAGAGGUGAAAUCCCACGGCUCAACCGUGGAAGUGCCCCUGAUACUGAUCGCCUCGAGGGAGGUAGGGGCGUGCGGAACUUCCGGUGGAGCGGUGAAAUGCGUAGAUAUCGGAAGGAACACCGAUGGCGAAAGCAGCGCGCUGGACCUUUACUGACGCUGAGGCGCGAAAGCCAGGGGAGCAAACGGG
rnacentral:rRNA from 1 species